rnacentral:lncRNA from 1 species
UUAAAAUACCCAGAGGUCAGCUUCCCAAGGGAUUCCUUUUGCUCCACCUCUCCUAACCUGCUUUAUUUUUAUUAAGUGGAAAUCAAAGAUUUUUUUAUAGAUUUUGAUAGAAACUUUCACUUAUAAUUUCUCUGAGUUUUUCUCAUUUCGUUUGCUGUUUUUUUCUUUCUUUUUUUUUUUUUUUUUAGCAUUUUAUUUUUCUUAUAGUGUAUCUUCAGGAAAAAUUAUUCCUGCCAGCUCAACCUCCCUUUCCCUUUUCUUACUUGUUAUUGGAAAGAAAUUCCACAGUAGCUGGAACAUUCUGUUUGACUGUUCAAGACAAAUGGUGGUGUUCUGGUCUUAGAGUUUCAAAGCCUAAAUAGGUUUCCACUUUGCCUAGAGUUUAAUAUCUCGUACCAUCACAGGAGACUCAAUCUGUAUUCUUCAUUCACAUGUGGUUAUUUGAGGAGUUAUGUAUUUUCCUGCCUGCUCAAACACUUCAGGGAGCGUGGUGGUGUGGUUUGUGCUUACACAGCCCUGCCCUGUCUAGCAAAAUGGCUACUGGCCACAGGUGAUCAUUGUUAUUUAAACUGUGUUUGGUGUGACUGAGAAUCUGGAUCUCAAUAUUUAUUUGCUUUUAAUUAAUUUAAUUAAUAUAAAUGUGAUAAUGCAUACUUAGUAAUUUAUUAGACUAAAAGUUUAAAUGUAUUUGGGACAAAUUGGCUAUGUGAAUCAUUUUUAAGGCAAAUUUUUGGAAAUCAAAGUAAAAUAAAAUAUUUCUGAUGAAAAUUUGGCUUCUGAUUUGUAGUAUACUACAAAUGUAAAGUAGAUAUUGGAUUUUGAAGACUCAAUAUAAAAGUAGAAUAUAUCAGUGAUAUUUUUAUAUUGUCUAUGUGAUAUGGCAGUAAUAUUAAGAUAUUAUUUUGAAAUAGAAUUAAAUAAAAUAUGGAUGUAAUUGUCUCUUUAUUUUUUAUCUUUUUUUCAAAAAUGACUAUUUGAAAUUUAAAAUCAUAUGCUGCAUUUCUGCUGAAUAAUAGUUUUUAGAUUUGGCUGGCUCUCAGAGCUAUCUUUUAUGAAAGUAUUAUGGCAAUGCUUUAUGAAAAUAUAGGCUUCAAGGUAUUCUGGAUUUACAAAGUGAAUCCACUAAAUCUAAGCCUACUUUAUAUAGGGUUCUUGAACACUUUAACCUCCCUUCUGGUCUACCAACCAGAAGUAGGGAAAAAGAAGGUUUAUACAAAAGGGGGUUAUGAACCUGUUUAGAAGUAGUUCUUUGGGGGCAAUUCAGCUCUUCGUUGUCCAGAUAUAAGCAGUCCAAUCCAAUAGUAUAUACCACACACAAUCAGUAGCAGCAAUCUAGUCCAAUAGCAAACACCAAACUGGAAUCAGUAGCAUUGGAUCUGUCCAGCAGAAACUGCAAGGCUCAUCUGAAUCAUCAUGAGUCAGCAGAAGUAGCACAAAUUAUUCAGAUACCUUGGGAAGUUCUUUGGUGCAAGUCUCUUUCCAAAGUCAAGAUGAGCAAAAACCAGGGAAGACCAACAAAGUGUUGCAAGGCAUAGCAAUGCAAGAGCAUCCUUUCACUGUCUGUAGGGUUCUACUUACACUCUUUCCAAACAUCACAUGCCAUCUCAAGCAUCUGCUUCAGUAAAACAUCCCCUCACAUGGCUAUUUCAGCAAAACAUUCUUUCACAAGACAUUUUCCAGAAAAACAUCAUGUGACAUAACUGAGUUUCCAAAGAAACUAGAAAUUUCUACUUCAGUCCCUAAAAGUGAGGAGUUGAGAAAUUUUUCUCUCUAUAGGAUUCUGUAGGUGAUUCUGAAGCAACGCUGAGCCCCACUGACUGAGGACCACUGGUCUAUAUUACAUUACUGUCACAGGGCUGUGCAUACUAAGCUACUAAGUUCACAUUUGUUUCUACUUAAAGUUUGGAGUUAGAAGAGACAGCCCAGAGCUCUCUAAUUUUGAUUCAUUUAUUGAUAUGUUUACCUAUCAUUUGUCUCAAGAAUUUUAUUCUUACAAUAAUAUGAACAUUUCUUCUUAUGGCACAGUGGCACAGGGACCAUAAGAAAGUUGUUGUACAUUGGAAAUCUGCUUGGUGUCAGAUUCCAGACAGUUGACCAUUACAUUUCUCCCACAGGGAUACCCAACAGUGUGAGUCUGUGAGAAAGACAGGCUCACAUUACUGGCAUCAUCUGACAUUUAAUGGUUAAUAGGUGUUGUAAGCUCCAAGUUACAUGAUCAUCUUUAUUGUUAUGUUGAAAGGCCUUAACCAUACUGUGGAGUAGAUGAGGGCCUUUAAAGAAAUAAUUAAGUUUAAUGAGUCUAGAAUAUGUCUUCAAUCUAUUAUGAUUUUGGGGAAUGGGGGAGAGAGAAGAGAUGUUUACAUUGGAAUGACACAGUAAAGAGGAGACUAUUGAAAUAGUUUUCAUAAGAAAAGAAAUCUUGACCUAGAACACCUGGCCUCCAAGACAGUAGGCAUUUCUGUUUUUUAAACUAUCAAGCAUGUGGUUAUUUUGUCAUAGCUGCCCAGGCCAGCUUGCCAUAGGUCAUGUGACAAAUUGGUUGUAGAAUUGUACUGUCUGCCUAUUCAGAAUGACUUCAAAGCCCACACUCUGAAGACGUUUCCUUCCUUUCGGAUAGUGCUAGAUGGUUUUUAUCUAGGUCUGGAAGACACUGAUGUGGAUUUGAACCAUUGGGACAUAAGUCAAGACAUACAUAUUUUACCUUUUCUUGAGUAUAAGCCCUAUGAGAUCUGGCCUCUGGUGGAUUUUGCAUACUGUUGCAUACUCUUGCUCCUCCUCACCAGCAAUGAUGUUUUUUCAGGGUGAAAUAGGGGUAUGCUGAGUGAAUAUCUAUUGGAUGGGCUGAAUAAACAGAAAACGAGAGGCAACUGAUGGCAGAUAGGUGGUGCCUCAGACCCCACUCUGAGGAAUAUCCACAUUCGGGUCAUGGUAUCCCAGGUUUGCAUUGACAAACACAGCGACUGGGAGCCUAAGUACUGCUUACAGGGAAGCCAGCAGGCAUAGAAAUUUGUAAAAAUUAGUUAUGCGAUGCUACUGGUGAUUCAGAAAGGAGAGCAAAGCAGUAGGAAGCCCCUAGAAUCAGGGAGACCGGCCUGGAGGCUGAGCAGAGACUGAGCAGGGAGACCGGCCUGGAGGCCGAGCAGAGACGUUAGCUUGGCUGUCGGAGGGGAAAGGACACUUGAGGCGUUGCAGGGAGAGCAACGCAGAGAGCACUGAGGAGCAGAUGACUGACAGGAGAGCGAGAUGAAAAGAGUUAAAGGCAAGUCAGGAGCGCUUUGCCUAGGCCAUGCUAGGCCCGCAGAGGCCGAGUUACUUGUUCAAAGCCACAUGCUUCUCAUCUGAGGAGUCUUUUAUUAUUUGUUUCCAUAUUGAGCGUCUGUUCUUUCAGAAGCUUAGAAUCUUGUGCUGGGAUUUGGUUUACACGUCUGGACUGAUAAAUUUUGACUGUCAGUUCAGCCAAAGGAAUAUUACUACUCAUACUUGACAACUUCUAAAAAAUGUAAUUAAAAAUGAAACUGGAGACAGCACAUAAAACAACAUGUUUCUAAAGCUGACAUAUUUUGGUCCCCAAAGCUAUUUUGAAUUUGAGCGUUAGAAAUGAAUCUUUAAACUUUCACGAGUGAGGUUGGGUACAAAGAGAGGCUUUUCCCAGUCUGAAGAAUGAAUUUUAAAAUCUGCUGUAGAAAAAUACCACAGAGAAAAAUAUAGCAAGCAGCUGGCCCUCUUACCCAUUUCCAAGCAGGAGAGGAAUUUCAGUCGAGCAGAAAAACAGCUUUCUUUCAUAAAAGAAAACACAGCAAGAAAAAUAAUCCUCACUGUGUAGCCCUGCGCAGUUAUUUUCUGUCGAGUAUUAGACAGAACCCGAGGGCUUAGCAUUGUUUUGAUACUCUUGCAACUGGCAGAUCGCCUGCUGGAGGAAGUUGGAAACGGACUGACCGGCUCCAGGCUUCCAGGUGGCUGUGGUACCACAGCUCUGUGCUGUUGUUGUCAGUCAUUUAAUUCCCUCCUGAAUAUUGAAUGGUGUUUUUAGUUCACGGCCCAUUUAGGGUGUCUUUCUGUUUCCUUUUUCUUUUUUUUUUCUUUUAUCCGUUAGCCACAUUAAGAAGAAAAAG